GACGAACGCUGGCGGCGUGCUUAACACAUGCAAGUCGAACGGAAAGGCCCUGCUUUUGUGGGGUGCUCGAGUGGCGAACGGGUGAGUAACACGUGAGUAACCUGCCCUUGACUUUGGGAUAACUUCAGGAAACUGGGGCUAAUACCGGAUAGGAGCUCCUGCUGCAUGGUGGGGGUUGGAAAGUUUCGGCGGUUGGGGAUGGACUCGCGGCUUAUCAGCUUGUUGGUGGGGUAGUGGCUUACCAAGGCUUUGACGGGUAGCCGGCCUGAGAGGGUGACCGGCCACAUUGGGCCUGAGAUACGGCCCAGACUCCUCCGGGACGCAGCAGUGGAGAAUAUUGCACAAUGGGCGGAAGCCUGAUGCAACAACGCCGCGUGCGGGAUGACGGCAUUCGGGUUGUAAACCGCUUUCGUCUGUGACGAAGCGUUAGUGACGGUAAUGGGUAAAGAAGCACCGGCUAACUACGUG
rnacentral:rRNA from 1 species